UACGUAGGGGGCAAGCGUUGUCCGGAAUUAUUGGGCGUAAAGAGCUCGUAGGCGGUCUGUCACGUCGGCUGUGAAAUCCCGAGGCUCAACCUCGGGUCUGCAGUCGAUACGGGCAAACUAGAGUAUUGCAGGGGAGACUGGAAUUCCUGGUGUAGCGGUGAAAUGCGCAGAUAUCAGGAGGGACACCGGUGGCGAAGGCGGGUCUCUGGGCAAUAACUGACGCUGAGGAGCGAAAGCGUGGGGAGCGAACAGG
rnacentral:rRNA from 1 species